rnacentral:rRNA from 1 species
GAAACCCGGUGAUCUAGCCAUGGGCAGGUUGAAGGUUGGGUAACACUAACUGGAGGACCGAACCGACUAAUGUUGAAAAAUUAGCGGAUGACUUGUGGCUGGGGGUGAAAGGCCAAUCAAACCGGGAGAUAGCUGGUUCUCCCCGAAAGCUAUUUAGGUAGCGCCUCGUGAAUUCAUCUCCGGGGGUAGAGCACUGUUUCGGCAAGGGGGUCAUCCCGACUUACCAACCCGAUGCAAACUGCGAAUACCGGAGAAUGUUAUCACGGGAGACACACGGCGGGUGCUAACGUCCGUCGUGAAGAGGGAAACAACCCAGACCGCCAGCUAAGGUCCCAAAGUCAUGGUUAAGUGGGAAACGAUGUGGGAAGGCCCAGACAGCCAGGAUGUUGGCUUAGAAGCAGCCAUCAUUUAAAGAAAGCGUAAUAGCUCACUGGUCGAGUCGGCCUGCGCGGAAGAUGUAACGGGGCUAAACCAUGCACCGAAGCUGCGGCAGCGACACUAUGUGUUGUUGGGUAGGGGAGCGUUCUGUAAGCCUGUGAAGGUGGCCUGUGAGGGUUGCUGGAGGUAUCAGAAGUGCGAAUGCUGACAUAAGUAACGAUAAAGCGGGUGAAAAGCCCGCUCGCCGGAAGACCAAGGGUUCCUGUCCAACGUUAAUCGGGGCAGGGUGAGUCGACCCCUAAGGCGAGGCCGAAAGGCGUAGUCGAUGGGAAACAGGUUAAUAUUCCUGUACUUGGUGUUACUGCGAAGGGGGGACGGAGAAGGCUAUGUUGGCCGGGCGACGGUUGUCCCGGUU